UACGAAGGGGGCUAGCGUUGCUCGGAAUCACUGGGCGUAAAGCGCACGUAGGCGGCUUUUUAAGUCAGGGGUGAAAUCCUGGAGCUUAACUCCAGAACUGCCUUUGAUACUGGGAAGCUAGAGUCCGGAAGAGGUGAGUGGAACUGCGAGUGUAGAGGUGAAAUUCGUAGAUAUUCGCAAGAACACCAGUGGCGAAGGCGGCUCACUGGUCCGGUACUGACGCUGAGGUGCGAAAGCGUGGGGAGCAAACAGG
rnacentral:rRNA from 1 species